UACAGAGGAUGCAAGCGUUAUCCGGAACGAUUGGGCGUAAAGCGUCUGUAGGUGGCUUUUUAAGUCCGCCGUCAAAUCCCAGGGCUCAACUCUGGACAGGCGGUGGAAACUACCAAGCUGGAGUACGGUAGGGGCAGAGGGAAUUUCCGGUGGAGCGGUGAAAUGCGUAGAGAUCGGAAGGAACAUCAGUGGCGAAAGCGACUUCCUGGACCAGUACCGACGUUCAGGCACGAAAGCGUGGGGAGCAAACAGG
rnacentral:rRNA from 1 species